rnacentral:rRNA from 1 species
CUUGGUCAUUUAGAGGAAGUAAAAGUCGUAACAAGGUUUCCGUAGGUGAACCUGCGGAAGGAUCAUUAAAGAGUAAGGGUCUCCGGGCCCGAUCUCCAACCCUUUGUUUAAUUACCAUGUUGCUUUGGCGGGCCCGUCUCGCGACCGCCGGAAGUUUGGUCUCAACCAGACUUCUGGCCCGUGCCCGUCAGUGGCCCCUUCAAAUUCUUGAUUAAAUAUGAUGUCUUAGUUAUAAACUUAAUAGUUAAAACUUUCAACAACGGAUCUCUUGGUUCUGGCAUCGAUGAAGAACGCAGCGAAAUGCGAUAAGUAAUGCGAAUUGCAGAAUUCAGUGAGUCAUCGAAUCUUUGAACGCACAUUGCGCCCUUUGGUAUUCCGAAGGGCAUGCCUGUUCGAGCGUCAUUAUCAACCCUCAAGCCUGGCUUGCUGUUGGACCUCUCGUCGUUAAAGACGGGUCCUAAAGUUAAUGGCGGAGUCAUCGGACCCUAGAUGCAACGAGCUCUCGUAGCACGCAUUUAAGGGGCUGGCGGCUCUAGUCUCAACCCAUAUCAUUUACAAGGUUGACCUCGGAUCAGGUAGGAAUACCCGCUGAACUUAAGCAUAUCAAUAAGCGGAGGA